GACGAACGCUGGCGGCGUGCUUAACACAUGCAAGUCGAACGGAAAGGCCCUGCUUUUGUGGGGUGCUCGAGUGGCGAACGGGUGAGUAACACGUGAGUAACCUGCCCUUGACUUUGGGAUAACUUCAGGAAACUGGGGCUAAUACCGGAUAGGAGCUCCUGCUGCAUGGUGGGGGUUGGAAAGUUUCGGCGGUUGGGGAUGGACUCGCGGCUUAUCAGCUUGUUGGUGGGGUAGUGGCUUACCAAGGCUUUGACGGGUAGCCGGCCUGAGAGGGUGACCGGCCACAUUGGGACUGAGAUACGGCCCAGACUCCUACGGGAGGCAGCAGUGGGGAAUAUUGCACAAUGGGCGGAAGCCUGAUGCAGCAACGCCGCGUGCGGGAUGACGGCCUUCGGGUUGUAAACCGCUUUCGCUUGUGACGAAGAGUGAGUGACGGUAAUGGGUAAAGAAGCACCGGCUAACUACG
rnacentral:rRNA from 1 species